rnacentral:rRNA from 1 species
AACGAACGCUGGGGGCAUGCCUAACACAUGCAAGUCGAACGAGACCUUCGGGUCUAGUGGCGCACGGGUGCGUAACGCGUGGGAACCUGCCCUUAGGUUCGGAAUAACUCCCCGAAAGGGGUGCUAAUACCGGAUAAUGUCUUCGGACCAAAGAUUUAUCGCCUUUGGAUGGGCCCGCGUUGGAUUAGCUAGUUGGUAGGGUAAAAGCCUACCAAGGCGACGAUCCAUAGCUGGUCUGAGAGGAUGAUCAGCCACACUGGGACUGAGACACGGCCCAGACUCCUACGGGAGGCAGCAGUGGGGAAUAUUGGACAAUGGGCGAAAGCCUGAUCCAGCAAUGCCGCGUGAGUGAUGAAGGCCUUAGGGUUGUAAAGCCCUUUUACCCGGGAUGAUAAUGACAGUACCGGGAGAAUAAGCUCCGGCUAACUCCGUG